UAUUACUAAUGUUAAAAUGGGUUAUUAUACUAACGCGUGUGCAUUGUUUAUUUAAUUAGACUAUAACCAGGGAAUCACAAAGGAAAGCCCUAUAAUAGCAAUGUAACUUAGUGUAAAGCCAAUAGAAACCAGCUGGAGAGCACUGAAGACUUGGAAAAGUGGCAAUAAAGUUACCUAAAAUAAAAUAGAUGUUUAUUAAAUUAAAUAGGAUUUAUUCCUAUAAAAAUGUAUGUAUUGCAAAACUUGGGUUUUAUCCCAUGUGUUUAAUAUUAUGAAAAUAAGGUGGUUUUACUCUGAUAAAAAUAUUUCCUAACUACGGUCCUGAUGAAAAAUUCCGCUGCCAAAUUAGACAAAACGUGAUACCACCGAAAUUGGCUCACGGCCGCCCGUUCCCGGGAACUAGGGACCGGGGGUUGUGACAGAAGGUGGUAUCAGAGCUAUGCCACUGGUUCAAGCCAAAGAAGUGUUCUGCUGACACUUAAGUUUUAAAUUCUGUGUUAGGAAAUUAAUAUAACAAUUUAUGUGUUAUUCUGUAGUAUGA
rnacentral:lncRNA from 1 species